CGCACGGGUGAGUAACGCGUGGAUAAUCUACCCUUAAGAUGGGGAUAACGGCUGGAAACGGUCGCUAAUACCGAAUACGCUCCCGAUUUUAUCGUUGGGGGGAAAGAUGGCCUCUGCUUGCAAGCUAUCGCUUAAGGAUGAGUCCGCGUCCCAUUAGCUAGUUGGCGGGGUAACGGCCCACCAAGGCAACGAUGGGUAGCCGGUCUGAGAGGAUGACCGGCCACACUGGAACUGGAACACGGUCCAG
rnacentral:rRNA from 2 species